rnacentral:rRNA from 1 species
AGAGUUUUGAUCAUGGCUCAGAACGAACGCUGGCGGCGUGUUUAAGACAUGCAAGUCGCACGGAAUCAUUUUGGUAGUAAUACUCGAAUGGUUUAGUGGCGCACGGGUGAGUAACACGUGAAUUACAUGCCCUAUAGUGGGGAAUAGCCCAGGGAAACUUGGAUUAAUACCCCAUAGACUCGCAAGAGUAAAGGUGGCCAGCAAUGGCUGUCGCUAUAGGAUUGGUUCGCGCCCUAUCAGCUUGUUGGUGAGGUAACGGCUCACCAAGGCAAUGACGGGUACCUGGUCUGAGAGGACGAUCAGGCACACUGGAACUGAGACACGGUCCAGACACCUACGGGUGGCAGCAGUCGAGAAUAAUUCACAAUGGGGGCAACCCUGAUGGUGCAACGCCGCGUGGAGGAUGACGGUCUUCGGAUUGUAAACUCCUGUCAUCUGGGAGAAAGACCUGACGGUAAAUAGCCGGCAGGGUUGAUAGUACCAGAAGAGGAAGGGACGGCUAACUUCGUGCCAGCAGCCGCGGUAAUACGAAGGUCCCGAGCGUUGUUCGGAAUCACUGGGCGUAAAGGGAGCGUAGGCGGCGCGGUAAGUCAGAUGUGAAAUCCCGGGGCUCAACCCCGGAACUGCAUCCGAUACUGCCGUGCUAGAGUAAUGGAGAGGUAGCUGGAAUUAUCGGUGUAGCAGUGAAAUGCGUAGAUAUCGAUAGGAACACUCGUGGCGAAAGCGAGCUACUGGACAUUUACUGACGCUGAGGCUCGAAGGCUAGGGUAGCGAAAGGGAUUAGAUACCCCUGUAGUCCUAGCAGUAAACGGUGCACGCUUGGUGUGAGGGGAAUCGACCCCCCUUGUGCCGGAGCUAACGCGUAAGCUGCCGCCUG